AAGUCUCUUCGGGGAUGAUUAAACCGGCGCACGGGUGAGUAACACGUGAGUGACCUGCCUUUUAGACUGGAACAACUUACCGAAAGGUGAGCUAAUGCCGGAUGAGUUAUAUAAGUGCAUGUUUAUAUAGGAAAAGUUGGGGAGACCUGACGCUGAAAGAUGGACUCGCGUCCCAUUAGCUAGUUGGUAGGGUAAUGGCCUACCAAGGCGACGAUGGGUAGCCGGCCUGAGAGGGUGGCCGGCCACACUGGGACUGAGACACGGCCCAGACCCCUACGGGAGGCAGCAGUGGGGAAUUUUGCGCAAUGCUCGUAAGAGUGACGCAGCGACGCCGCGUGAAUGACGAAGGCCUUCGGGUCGUAAAGUUCUUUCGACAGGGAAGAAAAUGCCUAUAAGUAACUGUGUAUGUAUUGACGGUACCUGUAUAAGCAGCCCCGGCUAACUCCGUGCCAGCAGCCGCGGUAAUACGGAGGGGGCGAGCGUUGUUCGGAGUGACUGGGCGUAAAGAGCACGUAGGCGGUGUUGUAAGUCAUUAGUCAAAGACUAGAGCUCAACUUUAGUAAGGCUAGUGAUACUAUAAUACUAGAGUAUCAGAGAGGAUUGCAGAAUUCCUGGUGUAGCGGUGAAAUGCGUAGAUAUCAGGAGGAAUACCGUUAGCGAAGGCGGCAAUCUGGCUGGAAACUGACGCUGAGGUGCGAAAGCGUGGGUAGCAAACAGGAUUAGAUACCCUGGUAGU
rnacentral:rRNA from 1 species